AAGGUACGCCGGGGAUAACAGGCUAAUCACUCUCUAGAGACCCUAUCGACGGAGUGGUUUGGCACCUCGAUGUUGGAUUAUCGCAUCCUGGAGCUGUAAAUGGUUCCAAGGGUUUGGCUGUUCGCCAAGGAAGGCGGUACAUGAUCUGAGUUUAGAACGUCGUGAGACAGUUUGGUCCCUAUCUACCGUGGGCAUUAAAAAACUGUAAAGAUUAGACCCUAGUACGAGAGGACCGGGAAACGUAAACCUAUGGUGGAUCGAUUGUUAUACCAAUAGCAUUGUCGAGUAGCUAAGUUUAUAAUAGAUAAUCGCUGAAAGCAUCUAAGCGAGAAACUAACUUUGAGAUUUGUUUUUUUUAAGACGUAAUAGAUUAUUACGUAGAUAGGCUUGUUGUAUAA
rnacentral:rRNA from 1 species